ACACAUGGCCCCUUAGAAAAAUGCUGCAGCCAUCACUCAUAAUAAGAGAUGAUUCUCGGCUGAAAAGAAAAUGAUGGUCAACUAUAACGUUUUUUUUUUUUAUAGCCUCUUCUCGGGAAAAUCAUGUUUUUAGUCAUUUUAGACUUUGGUUGAAUGAUAUAUAGGUCCUGGAACGUUGCCACACUAAAUUGCAAAGCCAUCUUUUAAUGUUCAUUCACGCUUGGAUUAUUUGGGAAUUUGCUAGACGCCCUUUCUUCUUCUUCUUCUUUUUUUUAUUUGGUUUUAUUAACUUUUUGUUGAAGAAAGUGUUGAUUUACGUUCCAGUAGGAGGCACCAAGUUGAUUCCCUUUAUUGUAAGAAAAACACCAAGCGGCCAUUUUCUUUCCGUCCACUGUAGCACGCUGAUUAUCAUUGCCUUUCAUUUAUCUUUGUGCAAUUGUUUUGAUAUAGGUGUUGAAGGCAGCAGCAACAGCGUCAUGGGGAGCCGACACACUUGCAAUUGUUUUGAUAUCAUGCUUUGAGAGGAUGCUGCUUUCAAUAGGAGAAGAUAUGGUCACGGCCUGCACAACUUGAGAACUCCAAAGAUGUGUUUAUUUUUAUUUUUAUUUUUUUUAUUUUUUUUCCUGGAACAUUUAAUUUGUUCAUGCACUCUUCAAUUAAAAUUUAUUCCAGCAAAGUGGUGUUUUGAAUUAGGAGGUAACGGCUAGUGGUUCAAUGUGGAAGCAGCUUACUCACUCACUUUAACUAUGUGUUGAAGCAUUUCUUUUUAGUAUUUCUGUGAUGAAUCACAUUUAAUUUAUGAGGUAAAUGUUGCUCCUUUUAUUCCAAGUUACAAUGUGCAUUUAAAUUCUAAUUUAGCAAUUUAAUUUCAAGUUCCAUUGUCUUUUAAUUCCCCCUAUGUUGAUUGCACAUCUUGUUUUAGGACUGUUCAAUUUACUGUUUUCGUUCACUUUAAUGUCUUCA
rnacentral:lncRNA from 1 species